rnacentral:rRNA from 1 species
UGGGGAAUAUUGGACAAUGGGCGAAAGCCUGAUCCAGCCAUGCCGCGUGUGUGAAGAAGGUCUUUUGGUUGUAAAGCACUUUAAGUGGGGAGGAAAAGCUUAUGGUUAAUACCCAUAAGCCCUGACGUUACCCACAGAAUAAGCACCGGCUAACUCUGUGCCAGCAGCCGCGGUAAUACAGAGGGUGCAAGCGUUAAUCGGAAUUACUGGGCGUAAAGCGCGCGUAGGUGGUUAUUUAAGUCAGAUGUGAAAGCCCCGGGCUUAACCUGGGAACUGCAUCUGAUACUGGAUAACUAGAGUAGGUGAGAGGGGAGUAGAAUUCCAGGUGUAGCGGUGAAAUGCGUAGAGAUCUGGAGGAAUACCGAUGGCGAAGGUAGCUCCCUGGCAUCAUACUGACACUGAGGUGCGAAAGCGUGGGUAGCAAACAGGAUUAGAUACCCUGGUAGUCCACGCCGUAAACGAUGUCUACCAGUCGUUGGGUCUUUUAAAGACUUAGUGACGCAGUUAACGCAAUAAGUAGACCGCCUGGGGAGUACGGCCGCAAGGUUA